UUUGGUGCAAACCAAAUUGAAAGAUAACUACAUUUCGCAUGUCUCAUUGAAAGCAAUGGAACUUUUGUCAGUCAUGGAGCCAGAUCAAGACCAUUAUGCCUGAAUAAGAACCUGGUAACUAAAGGAGUUACUAUUCAGACAGGUAUAUGGUUCUAGGGCUUGUAAAAGAAGCUUAGUAUAUGGCACACUUGCUUGAUAUGAAGAUGGACAGUAACUGAGCCCGACAAGUGUCAAGAUAUAACUGAUAUGAAAAUUGUUCUUGUGGACACCUGGUUUGCUAAAACACUUAAUCUGACAAAACACCUCUGGUUCAGGACCUCUGCCUCAUUCAGUGCACCAGAUGGACCUGCUCAGGGGAGGAAUCAGGGAUAUGUGGAUGAGGAUACCGAAAACGAAAAGAAGAGCACUCAAGUUAAAAAUGGAAACAUCCAGAAGAAGCAAAAGCAUUUUAGGAUAUAGGCCAGGAACCCAUCUGAACAACAAGGCAAGUGUUCAGAGCACAAAAAUAUCCCCCCUCAACUUAGGAAUAUAUAGAUAAAACAUAGACACAGGGAGAAAGAUUCAUUUACAGAGCCCAG